rnacentral:rRNA from 1 species
AUUGAACGCUGGCGGCAUGCCUUACACAUGCAAGUCGAACGGCAGCACGGGAGCAAUCCUGGUGGCGAGUGGCGAACGGGUGAGUAAUAUAUCGGAACGUGCCCAGUCGUGGGGGAUAACGCAGCGAAAGCUGUGCUAAUACCGCAUACGAUCUAUGGAUGAAAGCGGGGGAUCGCAAGACCUCGCGCGAUUGGAGCGGCCGAUAUCAGAUUAGCUAGUUGGUGGGGUAAAGGCCCACCAAGGCGACGAUCUGUAGCUGGUCUGAGAGGACGACCAGCCACACUGGAACUGAGACACGGUCCAGACUCCUACGGGAGGCAGCAGUGGGGAAUUUUGGACAACGGGCGCAAGCCUGAUCCAGCAAUGCCGCGUGCAGGAUGAAGGCCUUCGGGUUGUAAACUGCUUUUGUACGGAACGAAACGGUCUGCCCUAAUACGGUGGGCUAAUGACGGUACCGUAAGAAUAAGCACCGGCUAACUACGUGCCAGCCGCCGCGGUAA